AAUUAGUCUGAAAGCAGAAGUUCUCAGUGAUACUAUCGUGAUCUUAUCUCUGUAGAAAACGAGCCUGCAGCCAAUUAAAACAUAUUGCCGCUUCCUUCCCUUUCCCAUUAUCAAAGACACAGAUUGAAUCUUGGCAGCUGUAUCUUCUGGCAUUUCCUCUGCUCGAGAGCGCAGUUGCGCAAACUCCGACCUGAUAUCUGAUAUUUGAGGCAGAAGUUUCCACUGAAGAUGUGCAGCCGCUUUCUACUGCACAAGACUUCAGGAAACCAUGACGCACUGAGAGGGCUGAGCUCUCUCUGAGGGAGUUUGACGGUCUGAGGCAAUUUACACUUAUUCAACUUCACCACUCAAAGAAGCGCCAUCAGAGAAAGGAGCGUCUGUGUGUUUUCUUGUUUUCAAAGACAAAUCUGAGGAUGAAACUAAUUCUACUCGCGGUCCUCUUCUGCCUCGCUUUACAUAACGGAAAAGGGGCACCAAGGACCGCUGUGUACAAGUUUGUGAGAUGCAACCCUGAUGGUGACCGGGCCAACUGUGUGACUCUACAAAGUCCAAAGAUGGCAUGGACCGAGGACCUGCCAGCCAAGCUGCCUGCUUCUACUGCACAGUACCUAGAAGCAGAGCCAGUGGAGGACGAGAGUCCACUGAUGGAGGAGGAAGAGGAGGAGCCAAUGGAAGAGGAUGAAACACAGAUGAUCAGUCAAGAGGGGGAGCCCCCCAUGGCUUUCCCAGGAGAAGAAGGCUCUGGCAGUUAUGAAGGUUCUGGAGCUGAAAGCCCCUACAUGGCAGACAUGAGAACCGCAAGAGAGGCAGGCUCUGGUGAGUCUUGGCCAGAGACCGAUUCUGAGCUUACCAAAGUUGGAGAUAAGAACGCCAUAAGGAGGUUGUUCCCCAGCAGGUCUCUGGCUGGUGAGGCAAAACCUGCAGAGCAUGAGCUCAAAGAAGACCACCUUCUGCAGCUGUAGACUGCACAUCCACACACACUCAUAGGCAAAUGCACAAGGCUAUCAUCUAUUGCAGUUCUGCUCUGCCUAGUCAGAUUGUAAAAUUAAUAUUGCAUCACCACCUGCUGGAAGAACAUUAUCAUUAUUAUAUAUAUUUUGUAAUUUCUCUACUAUUAAAAAAACUUUCUUCAGGAGCAAAAGAACAAAUGUAAACAUGGCUGCCAUAGCAAAGGACAGGUGAUGAUAGUUUCAUUUAGGCUUGCAAAGAUUUGUGUUUGUGGUAAUGUGCUCUUUAAUAUAUAUAAAAAAUAUACUUUAAAAUCAUUGCUAUACUAGUGCAAUAAGAUGUCGACUUUAAUGCAUUCUUUGCCUUGAGGGAUUUAUUCCCUUAAUAAACACAAACCAAAGAUCUAUUUAUAUUAUUUG
rnacentral:lncRNA from 1 species